rnacentral:rRNA from 1 species
GUGCCAGCCGCCGCGGUAAUACCGGCAGCCCGAGUGAUGGCCGAUCUUAUUGGGCCUAAAGCGUUCGUAGCUGGCUGCGCAAGUCCGUCGGGAAAUCCACCCGCCCAACGGGUGGGCGUCCGGUAGAAACUGGCCGGCUUGGAACCGGAAGGCUCAGAGAGUACGUCCGGGGUAGGAGUGAAAUCCCGUAAUCCUGGACGGACCACCGAUGGCGAAAGCACCUUGGAAGGACGGAUCCGACAGUGAGGGACGAAAGCUAGGGUCUCGAACCGGAUUAGAAACCCGUGUAGUCC